CUAUUACUAUUAUUAUUUAGUACUAAUUAAUAAACCUAUUAUUAUUAUAAAUUUUUUAACCUAAAAGAUAUAUUAUAUAAGAAUUGUGAGGUGUGGGAAUUCAGUGUGCAGUGUACUCCUCCUCUUCGUGAUCCCUCUAAAACAACAUUUCCAAUCUCUCUUGUCAUCGUCACCAUCACUCAACAUCAUCAUCAAUACCGGGAAAAAGAGAAACGAGAGAGUCCAGAUAUUACACUUCAUAAGUCAAAGUAGUUAUUAUACUCUCUAACGUAUCGUUUACGAAGGAGUUUGAUCAUCAUGGUCACAGUGUCAUCGUCUUUAGCGUUCAUCUCUUCCACUAGAAGCUGGAGAUAUGCAUCAUUUCUCAACGUAAAGAACGAUCUUGUUAGAACCAGGGUUUCCAUGAUUCAUCAUAUAUCCGUCUGUGCCAUCUGUUAAUCUAUUCUCAUGUUCACCACCCUUCUCUCCCAUGAAACCGACGACUCCCCUCAAAAAAUGUAAGGCCGUGCGGCUGGAGUAAUUCAUCAUCAAUUCUUCUAUCAAGGACUCUUAAUCAAAAAAUGGAUCAAGAGGAAGAGGAGGACUUUGUAUCAUCAUCAUUAUCAAAAA
rnacentral:lncRNA from 1 species